ACCUAUUUCCGAAAGGGAAAAAAUCGGUGGCACCUGUCAAUUGCUCCGUCCUUAUUCCCCAGCCCUUGCAGGAAGGGGCGGUGAAGGCGACGAAAACCCUCGCGCGCGGCCGCCUUCUCCUUCCUUUGCCGGCGCAAUCGUCGCCGGCCGUCGAUGAACAGAUCCUCGACGGAUUUAGCAAGGGACUCUUCUGAGCAUUUGGCAUCCUAAAACUUUGGUGCUGUCAAGAUAGCUGUGACUUUGUGUUGGCGACUUGGCGUACUGCAUAAGCGUGGAGUUUGAUUUCAGCCUGUUCUUUGUUCACUCUGUGUCAUCUGAAGUUCAUCUUAGUUGCAACAAAAGCAAAACAAGGUGCUAAGAGAUAAAGCUACCCGCGCAAGACUUCCAAUUUUACACGGUUAUGCCAUAUCCUGCAAGGGUCUUGAGGCAGUAAUCGACGAGCUGAGGCGAACCAAUUGGAUGGGAUAUGGCUGCCUUUAAGCCCACAGUGCUUGCAGGUUUUGUAGUCCAGUAUGGCAUAUUCAUUCCGGAUUAUGAAGUGGUACCUCCUCCCACAAACAGGGUGCCUGCUCCAGCCUAUCAAGAAGAGUCAAGACAAACGCAACGACAUUGAGAUUCUUCGGCCAUAACAAUCACCAGCUCGUUCAAUAGAUUUUGUCUUUCGUUUGGCAUCUGUAAAAGAAAUCGCAAACUUUCAGGUGAACCGGCCUAAUCUGGCUUGGCACAAGCUUGGCAGAGUAUGUGUAUAGUCAGGAGUCCUAUUCUAGAUUUUUUUUUUCAUUCUAGAAAUCAUAAA